UUCAUUGCUGUGCGAGUCCGUGUCGCGCGUUGGUAGUAGUUUGUUCUGCACCGCGCGUGUCUGUGGGUUUGUUCGGCGGUGCCCUGUGCGGUGGUGGGACGUCAGAGUCAGUUCGUGUUGCUGCGGGAAAUGGCUGUCGAGGAGGUAGGUCAGGAGCUUGCUUUUGGCUGUUAUAUCUUGGCGUGCUAGUUGUCGUGGUUGGGACUGAGGUGCCUUACAACGUGCUUUUGGAGUGCGUGUGCGUCUCUGUGUGCGUCCGGAUUGGAUAGCUUGCUAUGCAGUUUGUCACGUGUGCGGAUGGAUGUGCGCGUUUACUUUUGGCCGUUCGGGACUUUGACGAAAUGGCGCGAUCCGACCCGUCUUGAAACACGGACCAAGGAGUCUAACAUGUGUGCAAGUGUUAGGGUGUGGAAACCCAAGCGCGAAAUGAAAGUAAAGGACAGCGUUGGUUGUCUGAGGUAGGAAACCCUUGCUCGUCAGGGGUGGCACUAUCGACCGAUCAUGAACCCUCGUGGUGAAAGAUUUGAGUAUGAGCACAUAUGUUGGUACCCGAAAGAUGGUGAACUAUG
rnacentral:rRNA from 1 species